rnacentral:rRNA from 1 species
CAUGGUUCGAAAUUGAAAGGGGGGCUUCGGCUGUCACUUAUGGAUGGACCCGCGUCGCAUUAGCUAGUUGGUGAGGUAACGGCUCACCAAGGCAACGAUGCGUAGCCGACCUGAGAGGGUGAUCGGCCACACUGGGACUGAGACACGGCCCAGACUCCUACGGGAGGCAGCAGUAGGGAAUCUUCCGCAAUGGACGAAAGUCUGACGGAGCAACGCCGCGUGAGUGAUGAAGGCUUUCGGGUCGUAAAACUCUGUUGUUAGGGAAGAACAAGUGCUAGUUGAAUAAGCUGGCACCUUGACGGUACCUAACCAGAAAGCCACGGCUAACUACGUGCCAGCAGCCGCGGUAAUACGUAGGUGGCAAGCGUUAUCCGGAAUUAUUGGGCGUAAAGCGCGCGCAGGUGGUUUCUUAAGUCUGAUGUGAAAGCCCACGGCUCAACCGUGGAGGGUCAUUGGAAACUGGGAGACUUGAGUGCAGAAGAGGAAAGUGGAAUUCCAUGUGUAGCGGUGAAAUGCGUAGAGAUAUGGAGGAACACCAGUGGCGAAGGCGACUUUCUGGUCUGUAACUGACACUGAG